rnacentral:rRNA from 1 species
GACGAACGCUGGCGGCGUGCUUAACACAUGCAAGUCGAACGGAAAGGCCCUGCUUUUGUGGGGUGCUCGAGUGGCGAACGGGUGAGUAACACGUGAGUAACCUGCCCUUGACUUUGGGAUAACUUCAGGAAACUGGGGCUAAUACCGGAUAGGAGCUCCUGCUGCAUGGUGGGGGUUGGAAAGUUUCGGCGGUUAGGGAUAGACUCGCGGCUUAUCAGCUUGUUGGUGGGGUAGUGGCUUACCAAGGCUUUGACGGGUAGCCGGCCUGAGAGGGUGACCGGCCACAUUGGGACUGAGAUACGGCCCAGACUCCUACGGGAGGCAGCAGUGGGGAAUAUUGCACAAUGGGCGGAAGCCUGAUGCAGCAACGCCGCGUGCGGGAUGACGGCCUUCGGGUUGUAAACCGCUUUCGCCUGUGACGAAGCGUGAGUGACGGUAAUGGGUAAAGAAGCACCGGCUAACUACGUG